CGGACGGGUGAGUAACGCGUGGGUGACCUGCCCCAUACCGGGGGAUAACAGCUGGAAACGGCUGCUAAUACCGCAUAAGCGCACAGAGCUGCAUGGCUCAGUGUGAAAAACUCCGGUGGUAUGGGAUGGGCCCGCGUCUGAUUAGGUAGUUGGUGGGGUAACGGCCUACCAAGCCGACGAUCAGUAGCCGACCUGAGAGGGUGACCGGCCACAUUGGGACUGAGACACGGCCCAA
rnacentral:rRNA from 1 species